rnacentral:rRNA from 1 species
UUAUUGAAUAAACUUGAGCAGGCUGUUGCUGGCCCUCUUUGGGGGGUAUGUGCACGCUUGUCAUCUUUAUUUCUCCAACUUGUGCACAUUAUUGUAGACCUGGAAGUUUGAAUUUACUUUCGAGUUGGGACUGCUGGUGUUGUUCAUCAUCAGCUUUGCCUUUACACCUAGGUCUAUGUCAUUUUUUACAAACCUUUGAAUUCGUUUAGAAUGUUGAAUCAGGUGCAUUUUUUGUAACCUAUAAAGUUAUACAACUUUCAGCAACGGAUCUCUUGGCUCUCGCAUCGAUGAAGAACGCAGCGAAAUGCGAUAAGUAAUGUGAAUUGCAGAAUUCAGUGAAUCAUCGAAUCUUUGAACGCAUCUUGCGCUCCUUGGUAUUCCGAGGAGCAUGCCUGUUUGAGUGUCAUUUAAAUUCUCAAACCACAUUUUGUGAUGUGGAUUUGGAUGUGGGGGAAUGUUUUGCAGGCGACCUUUGGAAGUCUGCUCCCCUGAAAUGCAUUAGUGGUAUCUGAGCCUUCAGGUGUGAUAAAUUUAUCUAUGCCUGCUUGCAUUGAACAGAUUGCACCGCUUC